rnacentral:rRNA from 1 species
CCUACGGGCGGCAGCAGUGGGGAAUUUUGGACAAUGGGGGCAACCCUGAUCCAGCCAUUCCGCGUGAGUGAAGAAGGCCUUCGGGUUGUAAAGCUCUUUCGCAAGGGAAGAAAACUUACUCAAUAACACUGGGUGAGGCUGACGGUACCUUGAUAAGAAGCACCGGCUAACUACGUGCCAGCAGCCGCGGUAAUACGUAGGGUGCGACCGUGAGUCGGGCGUACGCGGCGUAAAGCGUGCGUAAGAGGUUAAAUCCCCGGGCUCAACCUGGGAACUGCGUGUGAAACUACAAGGCUAGAGUAUGGCAGAGGGGGGUAGAAUUCCACGUGUAGCAGUGAAAUGCGUAGAGAUGUGGAGGAAUACCAAUGGCGAAGGCAGCCCCCUGGGUCAAUACUGACGCUCAUGCACGAAAGCGUGGGGAGCAAACAGGAUUAGAUACCCGAGUAGUC